rnacentral:ncRNA from 18 species
CGUGGCCCAGGAGAUGGCAUUCCUCCUUGAACCGCCUCAGCGCUGAUGAUGCCUACGCAACC